rnacentral:rRNA from 1 species
UACGUAGGGUGCGAGCGUUUGUCCGGAAUUAUUGGGCGUAAAGGGCUCGUAGGCGGUCUGUCGCGUCGGGGAGUGAAAACUCAGGGCUUAACCCUGAGCCUGCUUCCGAUACGGGCAGACUAGAGGUAUGCAGGGGGAGAACGGAAUUCCUGGUGUAGCGGUGGAAUGCGUAGAGAUCCGGAAGAACACCGGUGGCGAAGGCAGGUCUCUGGGCAUUAACUGACGCUGAGGAGCGAAAGCAUGGGGAGCGAACAGG